rnacentral:rRNA from 1 species
AGUGAACGCUGGCGGCGUGCCUAACACAUGCAAGUUGAGCGGAGUUUUGCAGAGUAUCGCAGAAUUUAGCGGCAAACGGGUGAGUAACACGUGGGAAACCUCCCUCAAAAUGCGGAAUAUCUCCGAGAAAUCGGAGUCAAUACCGCAUUAGACAACAGAUUGGCAUCAAUCAGCGGUCAUAGCAGUAAUGCGUUUUGAGAUGGUCCUGCGAUGACGGGUAUCCGGCCUGAAAGGGUGCCACCAAGGCUAAGACGGGUAUCCGGCCUGAAUGGGUGAACGGACACACUGGAACUGAGACACGGUCCAGACUCCUACGGGAGGCAGCAGUGGGGAAUUUUGGACAAUGGGGGAAACCCUGAUCCAGCGACGCCGCGUGGAGGACGAAGGUCUUCGGAUUGUAAACUCCUUUUAGAGGGGAAGAAUAAAUUGACGGUAGCCUCAGAAAAAGCCACGGCUAACUUCGUGCCAGCAGCCGCGGUAAUACGAAGGUGGCGAGCGUUACUCGGAAUUACUAGGCGUAAAGCGUAUGUAGGCGGUCAGAUAAGUCUCCAGUGAAAUUUCCCGGCUCAACCGGGACAGGCCUGGGGAUACUGUUUGGCUUGAGUGUGGCAGGGGUAGACGGAAUUCCUGGUGUAGCGGUGAAAUGCGUAGAUAUCAGGAGGAACACCGAUGGCGAAAGCAGUCUACUGGGCCAAUACUGACGCUAAUGUACGAAAGCUAGGGUAGCAAACAGGAUAAACCGGGGCUGGUAGUCCUAGCUGUAAACGAUGUUCACUAGAUGCGGGAGGUAUCGACCCCUCCGCGUCGACGCUAACGCAUUAAGUGAACCGCCUGGGGAGUACGGCCGCAAGGUUGAAACUCAAAGGAAUUGACGGGGGCCCGCACAAGCGGUGGAGUAUGUGGUUUAAUUCGACGCAACGCGAAAAACCUUACCUGGGCUUGAACUGCUAAUGGUAAAAACCGGAAACGGCAAUGACCCGCAAGGGAGUUAGCAGAGGUGCUGCAGGGCUGUCGUCAGCUCGUGUCGUGAGAUGUUGGGUUAAGUCCCGCAACGAGCGCAACCCUUAUCCCAUGUUACCCGUAGCAAUACGGGGUCUCUCUUGAAACUGCCAUUGAUAAAAUGGAGGAAGGUGGGGACGACGUCAAGUCAUCAUGGCCUUUAUGUCCAGGGCUACACACGUACUACAAUGGUCGGUACAGAGGCCAGCGGUACCGUAAGGUGGAGCAAAUCCCUAAAAGCCGGCCUCAGUUCAGAUUGUGGGCUGCAAUUCGCCCACAUGAAGUAGGAAUCGCUAGUAAUCGCAGAUCAGCAGGCUGCGGUGAAUACGUUCCCGGGCCUUGUACACACCGCCCGUCACACCACGAAAGUCUGUCAUAACAGAAGUCGUUGUGCUAACCGCAAGGAGGCAGGCGCCUAAGUUAUGGUAGGUGAUUGGGGUGAAGUCGUAACAAGGUAGCCGUACGAGAACGUGCGGCUGGAUCACCUCCUUUAUAAGGAGUAAACAUACGUUUCAAACUAUUUUAGGUUUGAACGGGAUGUUAACGGUCGUCCUUUAAAUUACUCAUAAUUGUCUUACGUUUAACCCGUGGGGCGUUUCUCCACGUGUUAGCAACUCCACGUAGGCCCAUUAGCACGUUAUAAAAUUUGACGGUGAUAGCGGCAUUUGUGAACGGGGAUAUAGCUCAGCUGGGAGAGCGCCUGCUUUGCAAGCAGGAGGUCGUCGGUUCAAACCCGUCUAUCUCCAUUUUACUUUGUCUUUUUUAAGUUUAUACCGCGUUGGAAACUUGGUCAUUUGCCGUAAUGUGUAAAAGUUUCUCGUUUUUUUAUUUAAACUUAAAACAUUUUGUAAAAUUCAAAAAGAUUUUUUCGGAUUUUUAUCCGUUAAAUAUAGAAACAAUAGUUCGUUGACAACUUAAUAGUAGAAAGUUGUUUCUAAUAGAGAAAACAGGUAAAUCAAGCGUCUUCAUUUAAUAUUAUUGUUGCGGGCUUGACCCGCAAGUUUUCGAUAUUAUUUGAGAACAACACAAUUAGCGAUUAAAAAUUAGAAAAAUGUCCGUUAUUUAAACGUUUGCUGCAAAACGGCGGAGGCCGUAGUAAUAGCAAGCGGGAUUAGAUAAUGUGACCAAGCUACUAAGUGCAUAUGACGAAUGCCUUGGCUAAGACUGUCGAUGAAGGACGUGGUAAGCUGCGUUAAGCUUCGGGGAGGUGCAAACAACCUUUGAUCCGGAGAUAUCCGAAUGGGGUAACCCUCCAUAUAGUAAUAUAUGGAAUCCGAAAGGAAGGCAACCCAGGGAAGUGAAACAUCUCAGUACCUGGAGGAAAAGAAAUCAACCGAGAUACCGGAAGUAGUGGCGAGCGAAACCGGUAAUAGCCCAAACCGUUGUGUUUACACAGCGGGGUUGCAGGACCGCGUAAGUAGAGUUACCAAUCAAGAAGAUAAUUGAACGGUUUGGAAAAUCCGACCACAGAAGGUGAAAGUCCUGUAAGUGAAAUUUUCUUGACUCGAAGCGGUAUCCUAAGUACCGUCGGACACGUGAAAUCCGGCGGGAAUCCGGGGGGACCACGCUCCAAGGCUAAAUACAAGUCCUAGACCGAUAGUGAACUAGUACCGUGAGGGAAAGGCGAAAAGAACCGCGGGAGCGGAGUGAAAUAGAACCUGAAAUCGUAUGCAUACAAGCAGUUCGAGGCUUAUGGCGCAAGGGCAACUGAGCGCAAUGGCUGAGAGCGUGCCUGUUGAAGAAUGAUCCGGCGAGUUAUUGGUAGGUGCAAGGAUAAUUAUUAUGUUAACCGCAUAUUAAGCAUCCGUAGCGAAAGCAAGUCUUAACGGGCGAAUAGUACCUAUCAUUAGACCCGAAGCCAAGUGAUCUAUGCCUGGACAGAGUGAAGUCCCUUUAACCGGGGACGGAGGCUCGAAGCGUCGACCGUUGAAAAGGUCUUGCAUGAGCUGGGUAUAGGGGUGAAAGGCCAAUCUAACUUGGUGAUAGCUGGUUCUCCUCGAAAUAGGCGGGCGGCUAGCCUUGAGCGUUAAACCGAAGAGGUAGAGCACUGGAUAGUUGAGCGGGUGUAACCCACUUUGCGAUGCUAACCAAACUCCGAAUUCUCCGGCGUAUUUCUCAGGAGUCAGUACGUGUGGGAUAAGCUUCACGUGCAAAAGGGAAACAGCCCAGACCAUCAAAUACGGUCCCAAAAUAUAUGCUAAGUGGUAAAGGAUGUGGAAUUUCUUAGACAGCUAGGAGGUUGGCUUAGAAGCGGCCACCCUUUAAAGAGUGCGUAACAGCUCACUGGUCAAGUGAUUCUGCGCCGAAAACACCCGGGGCUCAAGCAUAUUACCGAAUUUAUGGACCCUACGAGCAAUCGUAGAGUGGUAGAGGAGCGUUCCCACUACAUUGAAGGUAUACCGUAAGGAGUACUGGAGUUGUGGGAAGCGAGGAUGUCGGAAUAAGUAGCGAUAAGAAGAGUGAAAAUCUGUUCCGCCGAAAACCUAAGGUUUCCUUGAGUAAAGUUCGUCUGCUCAGGGUCAGUCGAUCCUAAGCCGAGAGCGAAAGCUGUAGGCGAUGGGUAUCAGGUUAAUAUUCCUGAACUAUAUUGUUGCCCAAAUGUGUUUGGUGCGCUUUUGAGUAGGUCAUCAUCCGAUUGGUUGUGGAUGUUGCUCCGCAAGGGGGAGGACGGCGGGUAACCGCUGGAACUGACUGUAUCGGGAGCCAAGAAAAGCCAAAUGCCUAUGGUUACAGUAUAAACGUACCGCAAACCGACACAGGUAGGUGGGGUGAAAAUCCUAAGGCGCGCGAGAUAACGUUCGUUUAGGAACUCGGCAUAUUAGCCCCGUAACUUCGGGAUAAGGGGUGCCCAUAGCAAUAUGGGUCGCAGUGAAAUGGACCUCGUGACUGUUUUUUACGUACACAGAACUCUGCUGAAAUCACAAGAUGAUGUAUAGGGUCUGACGCCUGCCCGGUGCUGGAAGGUCAAGUGGAGGGGUUAGCCGCAAGGCGAAGCUCUGAUAUUAAGCCCCAGUAAACGGCGGCCGUAACUWWAACKGYUCKUAGUAGGGAAAUUCCUUGUCGGGUAAGGCGGAUUCUGCAGAU